UACGGAGGCAAUUCCCAUGGAUACCAAGAAGAAUUGUCUGUACGGGCAAAAACGAUCCCAGCUGGGAAAACGGUGGAGGAAAAUCUGUUGAAAUAUUUGGGAAGAGACUUAAAAAGUUUCUCGAAAUCACUAGAAAGAGAAAACAGCCAACAGUUUGUGUUUCCAUACGGGCAACACCCUGGGUGAGGCAGCAGCAGGGAGACGCCGGCUGAAGGGCUGGUAAUUCUGGUUUCAUCUGCAGUGCCGGUCUCCGGAUUUAUCCCUGUAAGAAUGCCGGCUGACCAAGGCAUCGUUUGGAGGUACCACGUUACUGAUGGGCUGCAGCAUAUUCUGCUCUUGAGGUGGCAACUCCUCGCAGCUGAUUUGCACCACGAGUGUGUGUGUGUUCCCUCUUCCCAGUGAAAGAGGCUGUUAUGGACGUUAAGAGGCUUUAGCGAUCUUCCAGUACUGGAAAGGAGCUACAAGAAAGCUGGAGAAGGACUAUUCAUAAAGGCUUGUGGGGACAGGAUGAGGUGGAACAGGUACAAACUGGAGAGGGGCAGAUUUAGACUGGACAUUAGGAAGAAUUUCUUCUCCAUGAGAGUGGUGAGACCCAGGUUGCCCAGGGAAGGUGUGGCUGUCCCAUCCCUGGAGGGGUUCCAGGCCAGGUUGGAUGGGCCUUGGGCAGCCUGAUCCAGUGGGAGGUGUCCCUGCCCAUGGCAGAGGGGUUGGAACGAGAUGAUCUUUAAGGUCCCUUCCAACCCAAACUAUCCUAUGAUUCUAUCACACGCACAAAAUGCACCAGACUGAUAAGCAGUGACACGAAGCCCAGUGCUGCAGAACUUCGAUGUGCCCUACGAAGGCUAUUAAAUGCCAUCGGUACUGGCAGGAGAAAUUGCUUUCCUGGCUAAUCCAAUGUGUCCCCUCGUUGCUGUCAAGAGCGCAGCACUGCCCCAAGUCCACU